AGGGAGCUACCAUUUGAUUUGUAUGGGGGGGCUAGGAUGAAAAAUUUUGUCCUGUAUUUUUUUUUAGCUGUAAUCUCUGUCCUGCCUUUUUAUUUUUCACUCUGUUUGGUCCUGCCUUUUUUUUUUUAGUUUAUCCUGACUUUUUUUUACCUAAAUUGUCGUCCUGACUUUUUUUUUUUGCAAGUGUCUCAUCCUGCCUUUUUUUUAACUCAAAACUCCUGUCCUGCCUAUUUUUUUCAAAUUUCAUCCUAGCCCCCCCAUAAAAAUCAAAUGGUAGCUCCCUAACUUGGUCUUAUUUCUA
rnacentral:lncRNA from 1 species